rnacentral:tRNA from 1 species
GCAUGGCUGGCUCAGUUAGUAGAGCAUGAGACUCUUGAUCUUAGGGCUAUGAGUUCAAGCCUGAUGUUGGGUG